GAUGAACGCUAGCGAUAGGCCUAACACAUGCAAGUCGAGGGGCAGCACAAGGGUAGCAAUACUCUGGUGGCGACCGGCGCACGGGUGAGUAACACGUAUGCAACCUACCUUUAACAGGGGAAUAACUCGAAGAAAUUCGGACUAAUACCCCAUAACACAGGGCUCCCGCAUGGGAAUAUUUGUUAAAGCCCCGAUAACUAUCGGGACGGUUGAAGAUGGGCAUGCGUUCCAUUAGCUAGUUGGUGAGGUAACGGCUCACCAAGGCAACGAUGGAUAGGGGAACUGAGAGGUUUAUCCCCCACACUGGAACUGAGACACGGUCCAGACUCCUACGGGAGGCAGCAGUGAGGAAUAUUGGUCAAUGGAGGCAACUCUGAACCAGCCAAGUCGCGUGAAGGAUGAAGGUCUUAUGGAUUGUAAACUUCUUUUGUACAGGAAUAAAGUGCGUCACGUGUGAUGUUUUGCAUGUACUGUACGAAUAAGGAUCGGCUAACUCCGUGCCAGCAGCCGCGGUAAUACGGAGGAUCCGAGCGUUAUCCGGAUUUAUUGGGUUUAAAGGGUGCGCAGGCGGAAUGUUAAGUCGGCGGUGAAAUUUUGCAGCUCAACUGUAAAAGUGCCUUCGAAACUGGCCUUCUUGAGUAUGGAUGAAGUAGGCGGAAUUUGUGGUGUAGCGGUGAAAUGCAUAGAUAUCACGAGGAACUCCGAUUGCGAAGGCAGCUUACUAAACCAUAACUGACGCUCAUGCACGAAGGCGUGGGGAUCGAA
rnacentral:rRNA from 1 species